rnacentral:rRNA from 1 species
GACAGAGGGUGCAAACGUUGUUCGGAAUUAUUGGGCGUAAAGAGCGUGUAGGCGGCCAUACAGGUCAGCUGUGAAAACUCGAGGCUCAACCUCGAGACGUCGGUUGAAACCGUAUGGCUAGAGUCCGGAAGAGGAGAGUGGAAUUCCCGGUGUAGCGGUGAAAUGCGCAGAUAUCGGGAAGAACACCUAUGGCGAAGGCAGCUCUCUGGGACGGUACUGACGCUGAGACGCGAAAGCGUGGGGAGCGAACAGG